UAGGUAGUUGGUGCGGUAACGGCGCACCAAGCCGACGAUCAGUAGCCGGCCUGAGAGGGUGACCGGCCACAUUGGGACUGAGACACGGCCCAAACUCCUACGGGAGGCAGCAGUGGGGAAUAUUGCACAAUGGGGGAAACCCUGAUGCAGCGACGCCGCGUGAAGGAAGAAGUAUUUCGGUAUGUAAACUUCUAUCAGCAGGGAAGAAGAUGACGGUACCUUUCAAGAAAGCUCCGGCUAACUAC
rnacentral:rRNA from 1 species